rnacentral:rRNA from 1 species
CCUACGGGGGGCUGCAGUGGGGAAUAUUGGACAAUGGGGGGAACCCUGAUCCAGCCAUGCCGCGUGUGUGAAGAAGGCCCUCGGGUUGUAAAGCACUUUCAGUGAGGAAGAACGCCUGGUGGUUAAUACCCAUCAGGAAAGACAUCACUCACAGAAGAAGCACCGGCUAACUCCGUGCCAGCAGCCGCGGUAAUACGGAGGGUGCGAGCGUUAAUCGGAAUUACUGGGCGUAAAGCGCGCGUAGGUGGCUUGAUAAGCCGGUUGUGAAAGCCCCGGGCUCAACCUGGGAACGGCAUCCGGAACUAUCAAGCUAGAGUGCAGGAGAGGAAGGUAGAAUUCCCGGUGUAGCGGUGAAAUGCGUAGAGAUCGGGAGGAAUACCAGUGGCGAAGGCGGCCUUCUGGACUGACACUGACACUGAGGUGCGAAAGCGUGGGUAGCAAACAGGAUUAGAUACCCGGGUAGUC